AGGUCUGGCCAGGUCCCAACGUGUACCCCGAUUUCACAAACCCAGAGACAUUGGAUUGGUGGCAUGACAUGGUAAAGAGUUUCCACGACCAGGUGCCUUUUGAUGGGAUGUGGCUAGUAAGUAACCAUUCUCUUUGCAUUCUAUUGUGUAAAGUUAUAGAAUCUAUCAUCUGAUCAUAUAUGCAAUAGCCGAGAUCAGACGAAAAAAAGAGAGAAAAUUCAGUGAAAUCAGCCACUAUGAUUAUAUUGUGCGUUAGAGAUUACUUAGCCAAUGUAUGCUCAAUGAGAUAAUGGCUGGGAGGCACGCAUUGUGUCAACACGUCGUGGGGACCGUAGCAGUAAGAGUAACUACCUGGGGGCGACAGAGAUAUAUGAAAGCAGAGAAUUAUAUAGCCACAUGGGGGCAGGAAUGUGAUAUAUGGCCACAGGAGGUUGUUAGAGAGUUAUAUGACCACCCUUGGGUAGCAGAGAGACAAGUGACCACAUGGGGGCAGGAGAGAGAUAUAGGGCAACACGGGGGCAGCAAAGAGAUAUUUGGACACCUGGGAGCAGCAAUAGAUAAAUGGCCACAUGGGGGCAGGAGAGAGAUAAAUGGCCACACUGGGGACAAGAGAGAGAUAAAUGGCCACACUGGGGCAGCAGAGGGAUAUAUGGACUAGGGGGAGCAAAGAGAUAAUUACCCAAACAGAACUAGCAAAGAGAUAAAUGGCCACAUGGGGGCAGCAGAGAUAUAUAUAUAGCCACACAAGGUCAGCAAGCAAUAACAAAUAGUUGGAACAAACUAUUACUAACCUCUAAGUUCUCAGAAUCAGUAACAAAACUGUAACUAUGGGAAAAUCACACCGAAAAUAACUUGUGCUAAAAAUGUAACUCUCUAGGCAGAUACUGCUACCGACCUGAGAACAAAUCAGGUAAAGUUUUUCUGUAUAACUCGGGUAUCGUAGCGCAGAUAUACACCAUGUUCUUCAUUUCGUUGUUGUUUUUUUUAACAGAAGGUAUUCCGAUCCGUACAUUUUUUCGGGUACAGUUAUAUUUUUCCCUGUGAGAAGUCCAUCACUUUAUUUCCCUGUGUGCGUCAGGCACUGACAUUGUGGCGAAAGUGACCUCGCCAUUGGUUUCUGGAGGCCUGAUUGCUCGCCUUUUGCCCCAGGAUUGUAUGGCCCUUUAAAACUGUUAUUGGGGAAUAUUGACACUUUUGGGAACAAUGCCCCUUUAAGACUGUGUCCCAGACCUUUAAAAUACUUGGUUCGUGGCUUUUUCCUAUUUGGUUCGGUAAAUGGGGCUUACCGAACCAAUUACUGUAUAGGCGGACCGCACAGAAGGAAAGUGUGCGGCUAAUUUACCUCCCAGGCUGGCGGUUAACCGCAGGUUAAUUGCCAACUGCUGGGUGGCCUUUGUUCAUGCAGUCGAACACGUGGUGGCGGCCAUCUUUGUGACCCCUACCUUCUCCUCCACUUAGACACUGCGGCUGAAAACUAAGUCCCGUUCGACAAUUUGAACGCACAGUGAGACUAAGCUAUAUGCACGAACGGUGCCCCGUUUGCGCAUUCGAAUGGGACUUAGUCAUUUUUCUGAGUGAAAUUGACUGACCGCACAGCCAAAAACUAUGGAACUGAUUUGGGCAGGAAAGCAUGCUUGCGGUCGGUCAAGAAGGACUUCCAAAUAACUUUUUAACCCCUGCAGGGAAUUGUAUGAUUUUUGGAUAUGUCUAUAUUUGAAGUGUGCCGAUUAAUAAUAUGUAACUUUUAUGGAGACUGGAUGUAUAUUUUUAAAGUUAUAGUAAAUGUGUAAAAAGUAUUGUUACGACACCUCCCAUGUCUUUAAGCCAAACCGCCGUUUAGUAAACCUUCCCCGGCUGCAGUACAGUCUCUGUUCGCUUACUCUGUAACCCACGAACCAAAUGCAGGGGAAGCGGCAAUCUCCCGAUCGAAAUCCACGAACGGCUCCAAACUCCCGAACGGCAAUAUACGAACUGCUAGGAACCGUCGAACAAUAAUAUCCCCAAAGCGGCUUUCGUUCCAUCCAGCAGUCUCUAAACGUGAAGAAGAAAUCCCCCCAAUAACGAGACAGAAGCUCCGCAUUGAGGGUCAAAUAAGAUCUGGGUUUACUGUGGGCUACCUGCCCGUAUUUAUGCAGGUCUCCCACCUGGUGGACACUCCCCUAGGGGACCAAAUGGAAGACUUAAAGUACAGACAGAUAGCAGGACAUUUCUGACACACAGUCACAUAUUUUACCCACAGUACAUUCUGAUUCCCUCCCCUCUGUCCUGGAGUUAAUUACCAAGUAACUCAAUUAACUCCAGGACAAGGACAGUCGCCAUCUUAAACAUGAAAUAAUAAAAGACACAAAAAUGCAUAACUACAUGAAGACUGAACAUUUCCCAUUCGUAUUACAUGUCCCCAGAUAGCCUGGAUCUGAGUGCAUAUUAUUGGCGAAUAGCGCUCAGAUCCCACACACAUAGUUCAAUCGCCAUGGAGUCAAAGUUCUUACAGUCCUUCGGUACACGAAUGACUCCAUGGGUGGGCUAUCUGGGUUAAGUCUUUUGUGUGUUCUCAAUCUCCCGAACGGCCGAUGUUCGCAUGCUUUCGUGGAGGCAGCCAGGCGUUCCCUUGUUUCAGCGGUGUUCGACAGAAAAAGUGUCCGUUUUCCGUUCCAUAGAAAUAGAGCCAAACACCGCUGAGCGUUCGCAUGAUUUAAAAUGGCCGCUGCCUCGUGGUCGACAUACGAACGACGACCACCCUGAGUUCGGUUUAAUUGAGAAGUGUCUGCGGUUAACCACAACGUUAUAAUGGUGAUCACUUCGUUAACCUGCAGCACACUCCUCACUUGGGUGGCCGUUCGUUCGGCGGUUUUGUUCGGGAAAAAGAGUCAUUCGAAUGGCUGGGCUAUAGAAACCAGCCAUUCAUACGAACGGGGACAAACAGACGAACGGGCAAAAAUCCAGCAGACAGAUGGUUCUGUCACACGGCUCCCUCCUUGUGGGACACUCCGGCAGACCCGGCUUGACCCUGUGGCGGGUCAACUUGGGGAUGACCGGACUACGAGGUGAUGGAAACGUCUGUUUGUCGUGACAACCCAUCUGCGUUUCCGUUUAGCUUACCGGGUCUGUAGCUGAUGGUAAAAUUGUAGGGCUGUAGUGCCAAGCUCCAUCUCAGCAGUCUCCCAUUGUCUCCUGAGACCCGGUUAAGCCAAACGAGUGGGUUGUGAUCAGUCACAAGGGAAAACUCUUGCCCAUACAAAUAGGGGCUUAACUUUUUCAGUGCCCAGACCAAGGCCAAACAUUCCUUCUCCACUGCCGCAUAACUCACUUCUCUGGGUAACAACUUUCUGCUGAGAUAUGCGACAGGGUGCUCUCCUCCAUCUUCCCCGACUUGGCUCAGCACAGCCCCCAGUCCAUACAUGGAAGCAUCUGUAUGGACGAGAAAGCGUUUGUUAGGGACUGGGGCAGCCAAGACAGGGGCAUUCACAAGAGCCUGCUUCAGUGCCUGGAACGCAGCUUCACAAGCCGGAGACCACAGGACCUGCUUAGGCAAGUUCUUCUUCGUCAGGUCUGUCAGGGGCUUAGCGAUAGCGCUGUAGUCAGGGACAAAACGUCUGUAGUACCCUGCCGUCCCCAAGAAGGCCAAUACCUGGGUCUUAGUAGUGGGUGUGGGCCAGUUAGCCACUGCUUCUACCUUGGCUGGCUCUGGUCUCUGGCUCCCACACCCCACUCUGUGACCCAGGUACUGCACUUCAGCCAUACCUAGAUGACACUUUUCUGGCUUCAACGUCAGGCCAGCGGCCCUAAUCUUAUCCAGCACUACCCCUACAUGUACCAGGUGUUCCUCCCAGGACCCACUGUAGAUCGCAAUGUCGUCCAAGUAUGCACAGGCAAAUUCUUGGAAGCCAUCCAGGAGUCUAUCCACCAUCCGUUGGAAAGUAGCCGGUGCAUUUUUCAUCCCAAAAGGCAUGACCUUAAAUUGGUACAGGCCAAAUGGGGUGACAAAUGCCGACUUGGGGAUAGCAUCCUCGGCCAGGGGGAUCUGCCAGUAGCCCUUACACAGGUCUAUGGUGGUCAGAUAUCGCCCCCUGGCAAUACGAUCUAGUAAUUCGUCUACCCGGGGCAUUGGGUAGGCGUCAGUGGUGGUCCGCUCGUUGAGUCGCCUGUAGUCCACACAGAACCGGGUGGUCCCAUCUUUCUUUGGCACCAGGACUACAGGCGAGGCCCAAGGGCUGUCGGAGUGCUCGAUAACCCCAAGUUGGGUCAUCUCCUGUAUCUCCUUCCGCAUUCCUUCACGGACUGCUUCAGGGAUACGGUAGGGGGGCUGUCGUAACGGGGUCUGUCCAGGGGUCUCUACCUUAUGCACAGCUAGGGUGGUAUAACCUGGUUCCUGGGAGAACGUCGCCUGCUUCUCCCAUAACAACUGCUGCGCCUGUACCCUUUCUGUGGGGUUCAACCGGUCCCCUAGCUGUACCAAGGUAGUAAGGUCAGUCUGGGAAUCCCUUUCUAAUAGAUCUGGAAGGGGUAAAUUCUCAGAAUCAUCUGCAGCUGGGGCACACACUGCUGCAAUGUUCUCAGGUCUCUCCUGGUACUCUUUCAGCAUGUUCACAUGAAAGGACCGCUGGAUCCUCUCAUCUGCACAGCUGGCUAUCAAGUAAGUAGUGUCGCAGAUCUGCGCCACUACCUUGUACGGGCCCUGCCAAGAUGCUUGCAUCUUGUUGGCCUUCACAGGUUUAAGCACCAAUACCUUUUGCCCAACCUGGAAGACCCGCUGUCGGGCACCCUGAUCGUACCAUCUCUUCUGUCUCCCCUGGGCCGCCUGGAGAUUCUCCCUUACCAUCAGGGACAGUUUCUCCAUGCGGUCCCGGAGUUCCAGAACAUAUGGCACUAUGGGGGUCCCUUCCUGCUCCGUCUCCCCCUCCCAGUGGCCUCUAAUGAGAUCUAGGGGUCCGCGGACCCUUCUCCCAUACAGCAGCUCAAAGGGGGAGAACCCAGUAGAUUCCUGGGGCACCUCUCUAUAAGAAAAUAAUAGAUGAGGCAGGAAUCUCUCCCAGUCUCUGCAAGUGUCUGUAAAGGUCCUCAGCAUCUGUUUGAGGGUACCGUUAAAGCGCUCGCAGAGACCGUUAGUCUGUGGGUGGUAGGGUGAGCUAAGUAACGGCUUAAUGCCGCACACCUUCCACAGUUGCUGGGUGAGCACAGCGGUGAAUUGGGUUCCCUGGUCGGAGAGGAUCUCCUUAGGGAACCCGACCCUAGUAAAAAUUCUAACCAGGGCAUCAGCAACCGUCUCUGCCUCUAUGUUAGACAGCGCUACUGCCUCUGGAUAGCGGGUGGCAUAGUCCACCACGGUAAGAACAUACUUCUUACCGGAUGGACUAGCCCUGGCCAGUGGACCCACAAUGUCAACGGCUAUGCGGGCAAAGGGCUCCCCUAUAAUAGGCAUCGAUAAUAGCCUAGCCUUAGGGUGGUCCCCCCGCUUUCCUACCCGUUGACAUGUGUCACACGUGCUGCAGUACAUCCGCACAGCCUGGUUAAAGUUUGGCCAAAAGAAGUUCUGUGAAAUCCUAUAGGCUGUGCGGCGGGACCCUAGAUGUCCAGCUAAAGGAACAUCAUGCCCUAUCCGCAGAAUCUCCUGCCGGUACUUUGCAGGUACCACUAACUGGCGAUUCGGCGGAGAGGCAACACUCUUCUGGGAAGGUUUAGGGAUCCUAUAUAACCUGUCCCCCACCCACUCAUACCGUUCCCCAUCUAUUCCUUCCUCCCCAGCCUCUGCCCUGUCCUUGUAUCUUUGGAGGGUCGGAUCCGCCCGGGUUUCCCUCCCAAACUCCUCUGGGGAAUCCCAGCUUAAGGGGACCUGAUCUGGGGUAUCAGUCGGGGAAGGAGAUCUUACCUGGGUCUCGUCAGCAAGUGGGCUGGUUCCGGCAGCACGGGUCUGGGCACGGGUGGUCACUGGGUUCACGUCUGCAGGGCCCAUCGGAGCAUAGGCUGAAACCAAAGGGGCCAAAUCGUUUCCCAAAAGAACAUCUGCGGGCAAGUCCUUCAUCACCCCCACAUCCACAUGCCUAGCGCCCACUCCCCAAUCCAAAUGUACUCGGGCAACAGGUAAGCGAAACACGGCACCCCCUGCUACCCUUACUGCCACAGUGUCUCCAGUGUGUUGAUGCUCUGAGACCAAGUUCUUUUGGAGCAGUGUCAUCGUGGCUCCUGUGUCUCUCAGCCCAUUCACCACUCUGCCAUUUAGUUUCACAGUUUGCCGAUGUUGCUGGCGAUUAUCCUGGUGAGCCGCUUGCACUGGGUCUGCCUCGUGCAGAAUGCCCCAAAAUUCCUCCUGCUCUAGGCAGUGAGCAGCAGGCUGAGGUGGGCGCUGGUUUCCGUUAACUGGUCUCCUCCAGGACUGAGCCUGGUUGGCACUGUUCAGGGGGCACUCAGGACGCUUGUGCCCCAACUGCUUGCAUCCAUAGCACCGGAUGGGUUGGGAGUACUCCCGGGCAUUAAAUCGGGCUGGUUGCAUAUAAUUGUUAGCUGGUGGUGCGGCUGGGGUACGGUGUACUGGGGGUUGGUAGACUGCAGGAGCGGGUGUUACUGCUGGUCGAUAUUCCAGUCUGGCAGGGGCUUUAGCAGCUGUACCAUCCAACUUGCGGGCAUCCGUGUAUUCGUCUGCCAGACGGGCAGCCUCGGGUAGGGUAGAGGGUUUUCUGUCUCUGACCCAUUCCCGGACCCCAGCAGGUAGUCUAUCAAAGCAGUGCUCCAGCAGGAACACUUGUAACACCUCCUCCCCAGUUACCGCUUGGCAUCCAGCCAUCCAGUGGGCUGCGGUACGAUGGACUCUGCAGGCCCAUUCCACAUAAGAGUCCCCAACCAGCUUGUUGGUUUCUCUAAACCUCCGCCUGUACGCCUCUGGGGUCACUGCAUACCUGGCUAGGAGCGCCUCUUUCACAGCCCGGUAGCUGGUGAUCUCCUCCUCUGGGAUGGCCCGAAAAGCUUCACUAGCCCGGCCAGAUAAUUUCCCAGAGAGGAUGGUGACCCAUUCAUCUGCAGGUACCUGAUGUAGCGCACACUGCCUCUCAAAGUCUGCCAAAAAUCCAUCAAUCUCUCCCUCUGUUUCCACAAAAUUUUUAAACGCAGCAAAAGGUACCUUUUUUCUAGCAACCACAUUAUUGUCAUACGGUACCUCUGCUGCUGCAGCUCCUCUUUCCCGGGCUGCCUGUUGUGUUGCAACUGCUGCCUGCACACGAACCACGAUGUCAGCUGAGGGGUUGGGGCCAAAAUGUGCCAGCCUUAUUUGUACUGCCCGGUUGAAUUGUAUUUCCUCGGGUGUUAAAUCCAAGGUACUGGGCACGUUGACUCUUUCCAUUCCCGUUGCUGCAUCCAUCUCCAUUAGCAAAGCAAUAAUCUCCCGUUUCUUUAAAUUGCUUGCUGACCUUCCUCGGCGUUCCAAUAUGUCCUUAAGUGUAGCACGCCUUAAUUCCUCGUACUGCAUCUCUUGUAGCUGACCUCCAGUGCUGUAGGAUUCAUCCCACCGCUGCCACCAAUUGUUAAGACACCUCCCGUGUCUUUAAGCCAAACCGCCGUUUAGUAAACCUUCCCCGGCUGCAGUACAGUCUCUGUUCGCUUACUCUGUAACCCACGAACCAAAUGCAGGGGAAGCGGCAAUCUCCCGAUCGAAAUCCACGAACGGCUCCAAACUCCCGAACGGCAAUAUACGAACUGCUAGGAACCGUCGAACAAUAAUAUCCCCAAAGCGGCUUUCGUUCCAUCCAGCAGUCUCUAAACGUGAAGAAGAAAUCCCCCCAAUAACGAGACAGAAGCUCCGCAUUGAGGGUCAAAUAAGAUCUGGGUUUACUGUGGGCUACCUGCCCGUAUUUAUGCAGGUCUCCCACCUGGUGGACACUCCCCUAGGGGACCAAAUGGAAGACUUAAAGUACAGACAGAUAGCAGGACAUUUCUGACACACAGUCACAUAUUUUACCCACAGUACAUUCUGAUUCCCUCCCCUCUGUCCUGGAGUUAAUUACCAAGUAACUCAAUUAACUCCAGGACAAGGACAGUCGCCAUCUUAAACAUGAAAUAAUAAAAGACACAAAAAUGCAUAACUACAUGAAGACUGAACAUUUCCCAUUCGUAUUACAUGUCCCCAGAUAGCCUGGAUCUGAGUGCAUAUUAUUGGCGAAUAGCGCUCAGAUCCCACACACAUAGUUCAAUCGCCAUGGAGUCAAAGUUCUUACAGUCCUUCGGUACACGAAUGACUCCAUGGGUGGGCUAUCUGGGUUAAGUCUUUUGUGUGUUCUCAAUCUCCCGAACGGCCGAUGUUCGCAUGCUUUCGUGGAGGCAGCCAGGCGUUCCCUUGUUUCAGCGGUGUUCGACAGAAAAAGUGUCCGUUUUCCGUUCCAUAGAAAUAGAGCCAAACACCGCUGAGCGUUCGCAUGAUUUAAAAUGGCCGCUGCCUCGUGGUCGACAUACGAACGACGACCACCCUGAGUUCGGUUUAAUUGAGAAGUGUCUGCGGUUAACCACAACGUUAUAAUGGUGAUCACUUCGUUAACCUGCAGCACACUCCUCACUUGGGUGGCCGUUCGUUCGGCGGUUUUGUUCGGGAAAAAGAGUCAUUCGAAUGGCUGGGCUAUAGAAACCAGCCAUUCAUACGAACGGGGACAAACAGACGAACGGGCAAAAAUCCAGCAGACAGAUGGUUCUGUCACAAGUAUAUUUUUCCUGCCUGUGAUAAUUAUGUUAACCCAUUGUGUACAGUAAUUAUAUCAUAGGCAGAGGGGAGGAUUUUGUGGGAAUGAACUGUGGGAGUGUUUAACUGUAUUGGACAUGUUUGACUGGCUGUUCUACAAACCCAUGUGGGUGGUAACAUGGUGUAAUAUGAUAUGUAUAAAAGAAGCAAUAAAACCACAGCUCUGUCUGUUCCUGCUUACUCUCCAAACCGUGUAUCGUCCAGUUAUUGGAGGGAAGAAUAUUUGCUCCUGUGCCUGCUGUUCCAGCUUGCAGGAGACUCAACGGGGAAAGUCCUUGUAAGGACUAGAGCUAAUUCCCUAUUCGGUUCCAGAGUGCUCAGGACUGAGUAGCGUCCAGUUCCUGGAGGUGUCUGCUGGAGUGCUUGGAGCCCUCAGGAAGCGCUAGGAGCAUCCUUCAAUGGAGGUACCCAGUCGGGGUGCCAUAUGAUCUGUUACAGACAUUAAAUCAUAGAUCAUACCAGUUUGUGACGCAGGCAUUCUUGGGCCGCAAGGAGCUUGUGGCCAUGUGAUCACGACAAUAGCAUUGCUCCUAAAUACCCAAGGUUUUCAGAAACUAAACAACAUUGUGAACAGUUUGCAAAACCAACCAAAAUAGCAACAAAUUUUGUGGGAGAUAAUUAAAAAAAACUGGUCAAAGCAGAAACUGGACUUGGGUUUUUACUAUGUAGUGGUUAUGGUGCAUGAAGUGUUCCUUUACGUCAGGUAAGACAUGACAACCUAGGGUCAGCCGCUAGAGGGAAGUCUUGUCUAGCCUUGUUGUAACUGCUUCUAUCUCUAUCACAGGACAUGAAUGAGCCUACUAACCUUGUCAAUGGCUCGCUGGACGGCUGUCCCCAAAAUGAUUUGGAAAACCCUCCAUAUGUCCCAGGUAAAUCCUGGCCACUUACCGUAUAACCAUAGCUACUCCAGGCAUGAUGUGAAUAUAAAAAUGAACUAUAAAAUACAUUGUAACAUGUUACAGUGAAACAAGGGUCAUGUUGGAAUGAUCUGUAUGUCAAGGGUCAAAUCUGGCUGUUAAAGGCUGUGUUUGGUUUUAACUUGUCUCUGGUGUCUCCAUAAGUGGGACACCAGAGGACAAAAGGGCCAGGAAAGCAUAUGGUGCAUGUGUUUGGAGCCUGCUUGUGGGAUUGCAUGUGUGUAGAAUUAGCUGAUUGUGGUGUGGUAUUGUGUAAAUAGGUCGAUUUCAUUUGUGUUUGUGGUGUAAUAUGUGUGGCUAGGGGCUGUAGCAGUGGCGUACAUACCAGGGUCGCAGGGGUCGCGGCUGCGACCGGGCCCGGCCCACCAGGGGGCUCGGCCGCCCCUGCGACCCGGUAUGUAGCCACAGGGCCAGCCUCUUCCCCAGGGGGGCCCAGGAGCCGACCACCCCAGGGCCCCCAGAGGCUGGCCCUGCUGUCACCGGGCAGGCGGGUGGCCAGUCGGGCAGGCAGGCGGGCGUGCGAGGGAGCACUCAGUGCUUCCUCUUCAGCUCCCUCGCGCACCGCACUGAUACCGGAGCCGGAAGAUGACGUCAUCUUCCGGCGCCGGCAUCCCUAAGCGGCGCGCGAGGGAGCUGAAGAGGAAGCACACAGAGCAGAGAGCUCCCUCGCGCGCCCGCCUGCCCAGACAGCCCGCCCACCCAGGAGCCCAGCAGCACCACUGGACCCCAGGGAAUCCCCCCAGCACUCCAAUAGGUAAGGAGGCUGGGGGGAUUACAUUUAAAAAAUAAAAAUGUGUUAGUGUGUGUGUGUGUCUUAGUAUGUGUGUGUUAGUGAGUAUGUGUGUGUUAGUGUGUGUGUGUGUGUGUGUUUAGUAUGUGUGUGUGUGUUUAGUAUGUGUGUGUUAGUGUAUGUGGGUCUUAGUAUGUGUGUGUGUUAGUAUGUGUGUGUUAGUAUGUGUGUGUUAGUAUGUGUGUGUUAGUGUAUGUGGGUCUUAGUAUGUGUGUGUGUUAGUAUGUGUGUGUUAGUGUAUGUGGGUCUUAGUAUGUGUGUGUGUGUUAGUGUAUGUGUGUCCUAGUAUGUGUGUGUUUGUGUGUGUGUUAGUAUAUGUGUGUCCUAGUAUUUGUGUGUUAGUGUGUGUGUUAGUGUAUGUGUGUGUGUUAGUGUGUGUGUUAGUGUGUGUAUUAGUGUUUGUGUUAGUGUGUGUAUUAGUGUUUGUGUUAGUGCGUGUAUUAGUGUUUGUGUUAGUGCGUGUGUUAGUGUGUGUGUCAGUGAGUGUGUCUGUUAUUGUGUUAUUGGGUGUGUGUCUGCUAGUGAGUGUGUUACUGUGUGUGUCUGUUACUGAGUGUGUUUGUCUGUUAGUGAGUGUGUGUUUGUCAGUGAAAGUGUAUGUUUUGUAAGUGAGUGUGUAUGCGUCUGUUCGUGAGAGUGUGUGUGUCUCUUCAGCAUUUACCUUUCUCCAGCGUCGGACUCCCCAGUGUCCGCCUCUCAGCUCCAAAUGCAAAUGCGUGGCAAGAGGCGCGCGCGCGCAUUUAAACCGCCAUAGGAAAGCAUUACUCAAUGCUUUCCUAUGGACGUUCAGUGUCUUCUCACUGUGAUUUUCACAGUGAGAAUCGCGGAAGCUCCUCUAGCAGCUGUCAAUGAGACAGACAGCCAUACGAAACGGCUAUGUUUUCAGCUGCAGGGUUAAAACUAGAAGGACCUGGCACCCAGACCACUUCAUUGAGCUGAUGUGAUCUGGGUGUCUGUAGUGGUCCUUUGUGGUGUGGCUGCUGUCGCGGUCGCUGUCGCAGCCCUGUAACCCCUGCGACCAGGUGCCCGCCGCCAUGUGUUGCGGCCCCCGACCCGCGCCGAGUAAGCGCGGGGGGGAGGGGGGGCCCACGGAUCAAUUUUCGCACCGGGGCCCAAUGGGUCAUGUGUACGCCACUGGGCUGUAGAGAAUGUGUGUAUAGGGGGCAUAGUGUGUAUAGGGGAUGUAGCGAUUGUGUGCGUAUGUAGUGUGUGUGUAUAUAGGUGACGUAGUGUGUGUAGGUGUUGUAUAGAGUGUGUGUUUAGAGAAUGUAGUAUGUGUUUGCUUACAAGGAAUGUAGUAUGUGCAUAGGGUAUCCAGAGUUUGUAUGUCAGGAAUGUACUGUGUGUGUUGGGGAUGUAGUGUGUAAAGGACCGAGAGUGUGUAGAGGAGAUAUUGUGUGUGUGUAGAUGAAUCAGAGUGUAUAUAUGGAUUGUGUGUGUGUGUAUGUGUAGAGGAUUCAGAGUGUAUAUAGGGACUUCGGUGUACUUAGCACUUUACAGGUUACAUUACAGUAGAGGAAGGUACAGUAAGCACAGUAGGUAUACAGUGUAUGUAUAUUUUAUUUAUAUAGCGCUAACAGGUGUACUCAGCACUUUACAUGUUACAUUACAGUAGAGGGAGGCACAGUAAGCACAGUAGGUAUACAGUGUAUGUAUAUUAUAUUUAUAUAGCGCUAACAGGUGUACUCAGCACUUUACAGGUUACAUUACAGUAGAGGGAGGUACAGUAGGUGCAGUAGGUAUACAGUGUAUGCAUAUUAUAUUUAUAUAGCGCUAACAGGUGUACUCAGCACUUUACAGGUUACAUUACAGUAGAGGGAGGUACAGUAAGUGCAGUAGGUAUACAGUGUAUAUAUUUUAUUUAUAUAGCACUAACAGGUGUACUCAGCACUUUACAGGUUACAUUACAGUAGAGGGAGGUACAGUAAGUGCAGUAGGUAUACAGUGUAUGUAUAUUUUAUUUAUAUAGCGCUAACAGGUGUACUCAGCACUUUACAGGUUACAUUACAGUAGAGGGAGGUACAGUAAGUACAGUAGGUAUAGUGUGUAUCUAUAUGUUAUUUAUAUAGUGCUAACAGGUGUACUCAGCACUUUACAGGUUACAUUACAGUAGAGGGAGGUACAGUAAAUGCAGUAGGUAUACAGUGUAUGUAUAUAUUAUUUAUAUAGCGCUAAUAGGUGUACUCAGCACUUUACAGGUUACAUUACAGUAGAGGGAGGUACAGUAAGUGCCGUAGGUAUGCAGUGUAUGUAUAUUUUAUUUAUAUAGCGCUAACAGGUGUACUCAGCACCUUACAGGUUACAUUACAGUAGAGGGAGGUACAGUAAGUGCAGUAGGUAUACAGUGUGUGUAUAUUUUAUUUAUAUAGCGCUAACAGGUGUACUCAGCACUUUACAGGUUACAUUACAGUAGAGGGAGGUACAGUAAGUGCAGUAGGUAUGCAGUGUAUGUAUAUUAUAUUUAUAUAGCGCUAACAGGUGUACUCAGCAUUACAGGUUACUUUACAGUGGGAGGGGGGUACAGUAAGUGCAGUAGGUAUAUAGUGUAUGUAUAUUUUAUUUAUAUAGUGCUAACAGGUGUACUCAGCGCUUUACAGGUUACAUUACAGUAGAGGGAGGUACAGUAAGUGCAGUAGGUAUACAGUGUAUGUAUAUUAUAUUUAUAUAGCGCUAACAGGUGUACUCAGCACCUUACAGCUUACAUUACAGUAGAGGGAGGUACAGUAGGUAUACAGUGUAUGUAUAUAAUAUUUAUAUAGCGCUAACAGGUGUACUCAGCACUUUACAGGUUACAUUACAGUAGAGGGAGGUACAGUAAGUACAGUAAGUAUACAGUGUAUGUAUAUUUUAUUUAUAUAGCACUAACAGGUGUACUCAGCACUUCACAUGUUACAUUACAGUAGAGGGAGGUACAGUAAGUGCAGUAGGUAUACAGUGUAUGUAUAUUAUAUUUAUAUAGCGCUAACAGGUGUACUCAGCACUUUACAGGUUACAUUACAGUAGAGGGAGGUACAGUAAGUGCAGUAGGUAUACAGUGUAUGUAUAUUUUAUUUAUAUAGCGCUAACAGGUAUACUCAGCACUUUACAGGUUAUAUUACAGUAGGGGGAGGUACAGUAAGUGCAGUAGGUAUACAGUGUAUGUAGAUUUUAUUUAUAUAGCACUAACAGGUGUACUCAGCACUUUACAGGUUACAUUACAGUAGAGGGAGGUACAGUAAGUGCAGUAGGUAUACAGUGUAUGUAUAUUUUAUUUAUAUAGCGCUAAUAGGUGUACUCAGCACUUUACAGGUUAUAUUACAGUAGAGGGAGGUACAGUAAGUGCAGUAGGUAUACAGUGUAUGUAUAUUAUAUUUAUAUAGCGCUAACAGGUAUACUCAGCACUGUACAGGUUACAUUACAGUAGAGGGAGGUACAGUAAGUGCAGUAGGUAUACAGUGUAUGUAUAUUUUAUUUAUAUAGCGCUAACAGGUAUACUCAGCACUUUACAGGUUACAUUACAGUAGAGGGAGGUACAGUAAGUGCAAUAUUCAUUCAGAUAUUAUAAUAGAGAUUUUGUACAGGUUUGUAGCAUGUCACCUGUCUCUGCUCUUUAUCUUACUAUCUUUUAUUUGACCUUUUGUGUUUAUUUGAUAGCGGUAGUUCACGGCUCCCUUCAGGCGACGACCAUCUGUUCAUCCAGCAAGCAGCAUGUUUCUACCCAUUACAACCUCCACAACUUGUACGGACUCUCUGAGACCAUAGCCUCCUACCAGUAAGUGAACAGGAGGGACUGGAACAGGAGGAGUUAUUCAGGCUCUGUGAUUAGCUGUGUUGUAAAAUAUCAGUAGAAAUGUAUAAAACAAGAUGGUAGAAUUGAACCUGUCAAGCUUAGAGACACUUGUUAAUAUAGUCUACUGAAUGCUUGUUACUGUGUCUUGGUGGGAACUGGGUCAGUCAUGGAAUAUCUCGACAAAACUCCGCACUCCCUAGAACCCAGCAUUCUCUGGCAUACUAUUUGACAAAUUAUGGAUACAUUCAUGUAAAUAUUGCAAAUAAUUUAUUUAAUUUAUUACACAUUGCAUUUUAAUAUCAGCCCUGAGUAUUUUGAGGAAGCCAGAUCUAUUUUAACUCUGUCAUGAGAAAAAUACAAAAUACUCACAGAACGAUGGGCAUUAUUCUGCUUUGCUUGAUGUGUCCUGUAUCCGUUGUCCUGCGUGAUGUAGAAAGUAGCUUAUGGGAUCUAAUAUCCAGCCCCCUUAUUUUCAUGCAAAUCACUUGUGACCCCCCCAGAAACACAGUUAGUUUUGGUACUUUUUACUCCUUUGUCAAGCUCCACACAUCAAAAUCCAUUAAUUAAAUUCCAGAAAGUAACAGAUCUCCCAAAACCCACAUUUACCCAUUAGGCCAGAUAUCUUAGCAUUUAUUCAUAUCAAGUGUGUUAAUUGUCAGAUCGGAGAUGAGCUCCUCAGAUUGUCACACAAAAUACCACAAAUAUUGCAGUCUGUUAAAGCCCUGAACUAGGUGAUAACUACAUCCUUACACUACAUGUAGAGUCACAGGUUUGAAACAAAACACGUUUAACACAAAGAUGGACACUUGGACACAAUAUAUAUAAAAUAAUAACACGAUAUACGAGUAUUAGGACCAUUGUGAAGACAUUAUCUGUUAGCACUUGUUAAGAUCCUGGAUUUACCUGUUGGCAAACAAAUUGAUAGAAGGCAGGAGUGAUGUCAUAGGUGGUAACAAAGAAUGUAAUGACGCAAGUCUAGAUUCUGAAACUGUACAUUAGUGAUCUGCCCAAAAGCAUUGAUGCCAUGGACCCUCCUUUCAUCCUAGGUGUUUACAAAACAUCAAACCAAAGAAUAUCUUUAAAAAUAUUUUAGAACUGCAGGUGUGAAUACAUUAUCUAGAGUCAAAGAACAGGCAGAUUUUAAUGUGAAAUGUGUCAAUCAUAAAAUCGCCUAGAGUAAAGUUUCUGCCUGAGGUGAAACUUAAUUAGAUCGUUCAGGAAUAUGACGUCAUGAAAUUACUGUUGACACACAGACUAUCUUCUACUGUAUUGGUGUCUGAAUGAACAUGGGUCUCUAACAUGCGUGAAAGAAUGCACGAACGUGACGUUUAAAGAACAAAAACAAUAUAAAGAAUAAACAAAACAAUGGUUCUAAUUAGAAGAUCCUUGUGGGCAUUAGGCUUCUGCCUGUACCACCCACCCCAUAUACGUUUAGUUGAGGUCUUGAACAGCUCCCUAACGAUUAAUGAAAUUAGCUGAAUAAUGAGAAUAUGCACAAACAUUAUGAAUAGAAAUAAUAUAUGUCUCACCACAACAGAUAAAUUGUCUGUUCUUCAUCACUGGAUGAAAUGUGGGCACAGCUUUGGGCACCAUGAUAAGGCAGAUUCUGCAGAAAAUAAAUACAUUAAUUUCAUGUAUUUCUAACUAAUACUGUUUGACGUGUUACACAUUAAAAAAAUAAAACAGAAACCGUGCAAGGUGCUUAAUAGAAACAAUUAUGUGAUCGUGAUUUUAGUUCGGAAUCAGCUGCAAUAACUCCACACUAUAUCUGUGCAAACAACCCCCAAUUCACAACCCCAUAAAAAGUGUGCUGUGCAAAAAAACAACAAAAUGCAUAGACAUAUUCUAUGACGGCUGCCUCUAUGAACGAUGGCUGUGCAAUAUACCAAAGGGUCAACUCCUAAAUAUGAAGAGGAAUUAUUCAGAAGACGAUGUGUUUGGGUCCCACUACAAAAAGAAAAGUCCUGCGCUCACUCCCAUCACUCCUGGGCGGCAGUAACGACCACAAACUAAAGGAAAAAAGUUACCUGCACUCUCUUCUUAAUCCCUAUGUAUAUUUAAACAAAUGGAGGUCAUUUAGUUACUCCAAUGGCCACUGGAGGGAAUGCCCGUCUGCCAACGUCACGUGUUUAGAUCCCACGCAUACAAAAUACUUAGAGGCUUUGUGGAUAAGAAAUAUGAUAGGAAGGUUUUAAAAUCAGCGCAUAGAGAGAUUGAAACUGUAACUGGGGGAUAUAUCGUAGCAAAAAUCAAAGGGAAGUGGAAAAGGUAAAGUGAGAGACAUAACCAUAUUUUGAUAGUUAAUCAUUCUGGGAAUAAUAACAAAUGUAGAAGAAUUGUAAAUAAGUAUUGGUUAAUUUUAUCUGAACAUCCUAUUCUAGAAGGCAUUACCUGAUAAACCCGAUGGUGGUCUAUAGAGGUGUAUCUAGCAUUAAAGACAAAUUAGUGAAAAGUUGCUUCCAAAAGUGAUAGGGAACGGGUAUUAGUUAGGGAAUACUUUAAGGGAAGUUUUUAAAGUGGGGAUUGUUUCGCUUGUAGUGAGAAAGGAAUUUGUGAGCUACAUCUCAGGAAAAAGUUAUAAAAUCAUGCAUUCCAUAACUUACAUCUUAGAAAUGUUAAAAGAGGAUUUGAUAAGCUUCUCCCCUGUCCCCCCGCCCGUUUUAAUGUUUUAACGCAAUACGAUGAUAAGAAACCAAAUAACCCGAGCUUCAUAGCUUCAUAGCUUCUAUUUUCUAGAAACUGGAGAGGUGAAGAUUUUAUUAGGAAGUUAGGGCAACAGGAAAUUAGAUGAAUGUUCAACCUGUAGACACUUUUUGUAGCUAUACGGUUGGUGUAGCUUUGAAUUAUCUUUAUAUAUGUUUAUCUGUUUUAUCAUUAAAUUUUUAGGAUACUUAUAAAUAUGAUUCUGUGUUUUGUUCCUUUGGAAAAACAGGGCAAUAUGUGUAUUUCGCCAUGUGUAUGUUUUCUAUUAUGUAUGGCACAUUUUCUUGAGAAGCUGGAAUUAAUAAAAAAUAAUAAUAAAUGUAAAAAGUGUAUUUUUUUUUUUCAGUAAAGCCAUUUUCCAAUAAAGUUAUUUUUUAGGUAUUUUUCACUUUGAAAUUUGACAUAUAACCUUAUGAGAUCAGAGUGACAGGUGAGGUGGGCCCAGCCAUGGGGGCCAUUUUUGGGUCAGUUGGGAAGAUCUGAAGAUCUUGUUUAAUUGGCCCAAGAUUGUUUCAAUGGCCGCAGGUUGUGAUGGACGCUUGGGGACAUUUGUAACGCUUCCUGUUGGUAGGGAUAUGCAUGUAGCUGUCAUUCUCCUGCAAGGUAUAAUAUCCACAUCUUGUUGUUUGAAACAUGUUUUGUAAGCAUUAUUAGUAAACCUUUAGUAAAUCCCUUUUAAUUUUCAUCUCAGUGCCCUGGUGAGUGUUCGAAAGAAACGUCCUUUCAUUAUCUCUCGCUCAACAUUUGCUAGUCAUGGGCAUUACGGCGGUCACUGGACGGGAGAUGUGGAGAGCACCUGGGACCAGCUAUAUCACACUGUGCCAGGUGGGUAAUCCUUAGUAAUGAUAUUGGUACACUCAGGGCCAGAUUAAGAGCCCAGUAGACUUGGUGCUGACAAUUAUGAUGGGCCUAAUUAUAGAAUCAUAAACAGUCAUACCUACCAAUCGUCAUGUAUCUGGCGGAAGUGGUGCUGAAGGGAAACCCAGAGGAUGCAGCUAUGAGAAAACACACACUCUACGCUAAUCUCUCUCUAUUUUAUGCUUUCAUCUUUCAAGUAAAUCCAUACCCCCUAACAGCAGUGUCCAGUGAAGAAGGCAGUUAAUGGGUGGUGUAAAAGGGUGGGCCACUGACGCAAAUCAUGUAAUCAGACCUGCCAAAAGAGGCGAACAUGCCUUAAAAAGGGGGCCUGCGCCUAAAGAAUUGGAAGGCCAGCUCAGCAUGCAUGCACAUAAGGCUGCCUGCCAAUCAUGCAGGCUGGCCAACUAAGGGCAUACUAUGCAGACAGCACCCUGAGCUUGGCAUAAAUGCAUCUAAUGAUGAGCCUUACCAAUUUGCAUAAUUAAUUAUGUAUGCAUGUAAACCACAAGGAGUGACCUAAGAGAAAAUUCUGUAAAAUCCCCAAAAAACUACUUACAUUUAUUCUGCUGAAUAAAAGAUGGAUUGUUCCCAGUGUCUCCCUGUCUUCAGGUGUCUUAGUGUCCCCUAGUCUUCCAGUAUCUCCUAGUGUCUGUGUCCUCUAUGUAUCACAGUGUUUCAGUGCCCCAUGUGUCCCAGUGUCCCCUCAUGUCCCCAUGUCUCAGUGUCUUCUAUGUAUCACAGUCUCCCUAUGUAUUACAAUGUCUCAGUGCCCCAUGUCUCCCAGUGUCCCCAUGUUGCCCAGUGUCACUUGGACACUAGGGACACUUAAGAGACAUGGGAACACUGUGAGACAUUAGGACACCAGGAGACACUGAGAUAUAGGGACACUGGGAGACAUGCGGACACUGAGACACUAGGGACACUGUCUGGAAGAUAUGGAGACAAUGAGAGACUUGGGGACUGUGGGAGACAUGGGGACACAUAUGCUAGGGACACAGUGUCUCAGUGUCCCCAUGUCUCCCAGUGUCACCAAGUGCCUAGUGUCUCACAGCGUCCCCUAGUGUCUCAGUGUACCCAUGUCUCCAGUGUCCCCUGAUCUUCCAAUGUCCCCAAGUGUCUGAGCUCCCAGUUCAUUGUCCCCUAGUGUCUCAGUGUCCCCAUGUCUCUCUGCUGCCUUUCCCCCCAUCCCUCACUUUUCUGAGCUGUAGGCUGUCUCUGCAGGCUGGGAGCUGCUGUCUGGACUCUCUGUCCUGUGAAGCUGCGGAUCGGUGAGAAGAGAGAGGUAGGGAGGGAUAUGCUUUAACUUCCUAUCCCUGCCUCUCUCCACACACACAGUGACACCUACUGGCCAGCGCAGGUAUUGCAGAGUAAUCUCUGUUUACACUAAGAAAUAUGCCGGCAUUUGUAUUGACGAUUUUACUGCAAUACUGGCACUAGCCAGGCAGCCUCAAAUACCAUAAAAUACCAGCCAGGUGACAACCCUAAGAGUAAUGUGUAAAAUUAAUGGGCCUAUUCCAUGGGCCUGGGCCUAUGUUAAUCCGGCCCUGGGUACACUGAUGAUGCUAUAAGCUUGCUUUAAUCCUAUGGGUAACAUUACUCCAUUUCCUCCACAGCCAUUAUUCUGUUUAAUAUGUAUGGGGUCCCCUUGGUGGGAGCAGAUCUAUGUGGAUUUGUGGGAAAUGUCACAGAGGAGCUCUGUGUGCGAUGGAGCCAACUUGGAGCCUUCUACCCAUUCAUGAGAAACCACAAUACUAUUGAAGCCAAGGUAACGAUGAGGACAAACUAUACAGAGCAAUGAUCUCAAUUUCCAGCUCUUCCUCUGUUCAAAAUGAGGAAAGAAAAUGUAAUUUUGGAGCCAGCAAUCCAUUUUCUUCAUAGACAAGAUGGGAAUUGUUAGAUUCUUCCUCUUUCUAAUCCAACCAGUGUUGAGUGGGCAUCUUGAGUUCUGCUGUGUCAAGGAUAGACACCCCAAAACACAAAGAAUGAGGCCGGUUAUAGAGAGGGUGGACUUAUUACCAAACCUGAGAGUGGCCGUGCUUAAUGUAUGAAGAAAGUAAUUGAUACAGAAUAAUCAAAUACAAACCUAGAUCAGCAUUGGAGAAAGAUGGAUAAACAUGCAAAUCAAAGACAAGGGUCAGGGAUACUAGAAUACAAAAUAAAAAUUUGUACAAAGAAAAGUCAAAUACCAGAAAUGCAGAUAAUCAAGGAAUGUACUCUCAGGCUAUUAGCAACCAAGACAGGGCAAGGAUGAGAGGUCACACAGGCUACUUAUAGGACCCUGUGGCCUCUGAUUGGCUUGCAUUACAUGUGACACAAAAACAAAUGCUACUAGUGUUGUGCGAGCAUAGUAAGGCACCCACACAAGACAAGAAUCGCAAUAAGAAUAAAAAGGAACCAGGGUGAAGUGUACUGCAUCAUUGCCAAUCUUAUAUCAACGUCCAACAUUAUCAUGUCCUGCAUGGAAUGGAAGAGAAGAGAGUGCCUACGAGCUUCAGUUGAUACCUGGAAGGGGGAGAAGUUAUGACAUGCUGGCCACACAGCAGAUAUGCUCAAACUGACUUGUCCAACUCCAUCUUGCUGAGUCCGGCCAACUAAUUCCCUGUCCUAAUUUACCGAAUCUGAACUCCAGAGGUGGAGGUUUAGCUCAGAAACCAAAUGCCUCACUGUUGAUAAAUGAAACUUAUUGGAUAUAAAUUUUUUUGAAUACAGUUGGUUUUGAAACUUCAAGACUUCUCAUUCAUCUUGUUGAAAUAUGAUCAAGGAUACAUAAUAAAUAGCAGUGAAAUUUGGGCUCCACCUCGCACGUCUUAUUAGGGCCAACUCAUUAAUUGCCUUCUUUCUGUGCAGUUUACUGUCCAUGUCAAAUUACAUAUUAUACUGAUUGACCUGAAGUUCAUAUAAAAUAAUAUUUGGUCAUUUUUGCCUUAAAAUGAGCACAUUUUCCCUUUACUUGUAUUCAGGUGUUCAUACACCCCCUUCAACAUUAUGACAGUUGUAAUUAUCCUUCUGAUUUAAACUCUCUUCUCUAUUUUUUUUUAUCAAUAAUACAUGUGUGGCCUUUAAUCUAAUUUGUGAUAUUCCUAUAUGAUAGCUCCAUGUGGCAACCUUUGUUUUUCUAAAACCUCUGCUGGAGAAAGAGAUCCAGAUGUAGCCGGGUCACAUAAUUCUUGACAAUCCACGGUCUAGAAGUUAUUUUCUUGUUGUAUAUUCCUCAAGAUUAUACCUAUAUCUGUGCUUUUUCUUCUCCCAGUCACAGGAGCCAUAUGUUUUCAGUAAACGCGCUCAACAUGCCAUGAAGACGGCCCUGUUCAUUCGAUACUCUCUACUUCCAUAUCUCUACACGCUGUUCCAUAAAGCUCAUAGCACAGGAGAGACAGUUGUACGAGCACUUUUCAUGGAGUACGUUCUGGGAUCAAUAAGGUCCAAACGUCAAUCACGUUGGGUGCUGAAUCCUGAUCUAUUUCUUUCUUUUCUACAUCCAGGUUUCCUUCUGAUCCAAACACAUGGACAAUCGACCGGCAGUUCCUUUGGGGAGAAGCUCUGCUCAUCACCCCUGUCCUGGAGGAAGGCAAGAACGAAGUGAACGGAUAUUUUCCUGCUGGAAUAUGGUACAACAAAAGCACAGUGAGUUUGUCUAUACACUUUAUCCACCUGAUUAAUUUUAUUUCUAAUCUGUCUUGUAUUUAAUUGUUGAGGACCCAUUAAGCAAAUUAACACAUGGUUUAGAUGGGUUGAGAAACAUUAUAUAAGGUCCUAAGAUUUCAUUUUCUUGCUUUUCUAUCUCUCUUGUAAUCUGCUCUACUUUUUCUCUUUCCCUUAAUCAUUUAAUUUAUACUAAAUAUACAUACAUAAUGUAACAAGUACAGGGUAUGUCUGGUCCCUGGUUUGGACCCAGACCUGUCCCAUUAUGUUGUUAGUUCCUCCUCUGGCACCUCAGCCAUCCUCUAGGCAGGAAUCAAUCUCUCUGCUCGCUUUGUCCACUUUGUCAGGAAUCAAUCUCUCUGCUCGCUCCAAGCAUUGUCUUUAUAAAUACUUUUUUAGGCUCUGAGUCCAGGCCUUGUGUACAGAGUUCUUACAAAUCUGUUUUGAGACUGGGCCCCUGGACACAAGCACACUUAGACAAUGUUCCAAAAGGAACUGGAUAAUUUCUUUACUUUCAAACCAAGACCUACCUUCAACAGUGCUACAUUUAACUUAUGGCGAGGUAUUAAAAAAGUACAUGAAACAUAAAUAUAUAAUAAAACAUAAAGGUACAAAAAAACUGCCAUACAAGGGAGCAUCAGUGACACUUAUAAAAUGUAAAUCCCAGAGCAUUUUGUCUGUAUUUCAAACAGAUGCAAAUAUAUGCAAAUCAGACUUAAUGUACAUAACCACUUUUUCACCAACAGAUGGCGCUGCACCAAAAUCCAUGGUCUUGAUACUAUUACACAUAUCAUUUGUGUUUGUAUUCUAUUCAUCUUGUGAUCUAUUUUCAAGAACACAAUAUUUCUUCUGAUACAUCUCUACAUUUCUCUAUCCGACAGGGUAAAAGAAUUCGAAGUCAGGGUCAGUGGAUUGUCCUCCCAGCCCCUCUAGAUGAAAUUAAUGUCCACGUGCGAGGGGGCUUUAUCUUACCUACACAGGUAAGCAGUUGGUGAGGAGAAAGUAAUGGGUCUUUUCUAGAGGCAGCACAAGGCCAAAAUAUAAUCGCAACAACCCCUGAGUGCAAAGACUGCCGCCUAUCCUAGCAUGUCAAAAAAUAUUUGUGCAAGUAAGUCCUACUUGUAGUGAUAUUUGAGUCAUUCAAGAGCUGACAGCUAUAUUGCAUUUUAAACACCGAGGAUAAUAUGAAGGGCAAUGCUAAGCCCAUGAUUUCCGGGUGUCUGCUAAAGAUUACUUGACACGCACGUACAGUAUAUAGAUAGUGAUUGGGGUUUCAUUUUGGAUUCUUUGUAACUGCUGUCAAUCACUCAUAAGAUUGUGGACCAGCUCCAGGUUUCGAUGUUGAUGUUUUUUCCCAUAAACUGGUUAGAUCAUGCAUCUAGCUGAGUUCCAGAGGCAGUAAAUGUUGCUUUCCCCUGGGCUGUUCUGUUUCUAUUUAUUCAAAGACAUUCCUAUGUAAAGGGAAACCACAUACUGAAUUUUCUUGUCUUUCACUGACUGGUUUAUUUUUGGUUACAGAUAAAUUAUUUUAGUAUUUGGAAAGAAUGUUAACUUUAAACACGACUUCUUGUUCCUGGUAAAUUCGCCAUUAUUUGUCAGAGAGCUUGAUUGUAGAUGAGAGUUGUUUUACUAUGUCAUGAUGGACUGAUCCAGGGUCAGUUGAUUAUUGGUAUAUAUUGACCAUACAUUCAUAUCUUCCUAUAUAUAUUGACCAUAACCUGCUCUACACGUCGUCCCAGCAGCUUCCUUUAAGUUGGGGUAGAGGAUAAAUAAGGUCUUCUCUCUCAGUCUGCGAGUUCACACUACGCAGAGUGACUGGCUGGAGGGGACACGAGACACCCAGACAUUGUGCCAGCAGAGUUGCGAGACACCCAGACAUUGAGCCAAGAGUUUGUAGUAUAUAUAUAUAUAUACACAUACAUACACACACACAGGGGUCAAAUCCUGAGUAAAAUAAGUGUGGGAACUCACCCAAGAUCCACCCCCCCCCCCUUAAAAAAAAUAAUUAUACGCUCGUUUGCAGGGGCUGAGUAGGGGGACAGGGGCUGAGGGGGCAGGGCUGAGGAAGAGGGACAGGAGUGUAGGAGGGGGGGGGGACAGGGGCUAAGGAAAGGUGGACAAGGGCUGAGUAAGGUGGACAAAGGCUGAGGAGGGGACAGGGGCUGAGGGGCCAGGGCUGAGAAAGAGGACAGGAGUGUAGGAGGAGGCAGGGAGCUGAGUAAGGUGGACAAAAGGCACAGGCUGAGGAGGAGACAGAGGCUGAGGGGCCAGGGCUGAGAAAAGAGGGACAGGAGCGUGGGAGGGGGACAGGGCUGAGUAAGGUGGACAAAGGCUGAGGGAGGGGACAGGGCUGAGGGUCAGGGCUGAGGAAGAGGGACAGGAGCGUAGGAGGGACAGGGGCUGAGGAAAGGUGGACAGGGGCUGAGUAAGGUGGACAAAGGCUGAGGAGGGGGGCAGGGGCUGAGGAGGAGGGACAGGGGCUGAGGGCUGAGGAAGAGGGACAGGAGCGUGGGGGGGGCUGAGGAAAGGUGGACAAAGGCUGAGGAGGGGGACAGGGGCUGAGGGGGCAAGGGCUGAGGAAGAGGGACAGGAGCGUAGGAGGGGGGUACAGGGACUGAGUAAGGUGGGCAGAGGCUGAGUAAGGUGGGCAGGGGCUGAGUAAGGUGGACUAGGGCUGAGGAGGGGGGCAGGGGCUGAGUAAGGUGACGGGCUGAGGAAGAGGGAUGGAAGCUUAGAAGGGGGGCAGGGGCUGAGGAAGGGGACAUGGACUGAGGGGGACAGGGCUGAGGAAGAGGGCAGGGACUGAAGAAGGGGAUAAAAAAACUCUAAAGUGCAUUCCCCCCUCCCUGAGGCUUACCAUGGGCCAGGAGGGGUGGGACAGGAUCUGGAGCCUGCAGUCAGUGGAGUAGGCCGGCCUCUCCUGAUGAUGUCAGGAGGGGGCGUGACUUUCACUGCUCUUCCCCCAGACUCCCCAGCGGUCCUGAGAGGAGGCAGGGCCAGAGCCAGGGGAUUCAGAUUUGUGUUGCCCCACGCUCUGACGGCCGCUUGUGCCAGCCCUGGGUCCUGCAGUACCUAUAAUGGGAACGACGUUCCUGCUCUGGAAAAAGUGCAGGAACAUCGUUCCCAUGCGUUCCUGCAGGACUCGAGGCCUGUAUAUAUAUAUAUAUAUAUAUAUAUCAAUUAUAAUUAUUAAUAUAGUGACAAUAUAUUCUGCAUCUCUGUACAAUAGGUAAAUGAGAGAAACAUUUGAUUAUAACAAAACACGCAUGACAUAGGGAACAGUAGGUGAAGAGCUUACAAUCUAAAAGGACGAGGGAGAAAUAUUCACAAGGAAUCAAGUGAUCUGUAUGUACCCGCCGACGAUGGGAGUGGUGUUUGGAUGAAGGAGCACCGUGGUGGGAGACUGCAGAAGGUAUCGGGGAUGAGGAGUUAAGGGGAGAGCUCAUGGGCUAUUCUAAAGAAGUGUGUUUUUAGGGAUUUUUUUGAAGGAUUGCAGAGAAAGGGAGAGGUUAAUAUGCCACAGGGGGGUAUUCAAUAAGUUUGGGGUCACACUGGUAAAGUCCUGCAUCUGAGAGUCUGGAGUGCGUACGUGAAAGGGACAGUAAGAGGCAGGGUUGAAACGUAUCUGAUAAUGAGUGAGGAGAUAUAAGCAGGAACAGAAUUAUGGAAAACUUUGUAACUAAACUUGUAAAGAAUUUUAAACACAGUCCUAACAACUUAAAAAUCUUUAAAUAUAAAUAAAAAAGUGGAGCGCAAAAGAAAACUCCUUGACUUUAGGUUCCAUAAACAUGUAAACAUGAGAAAAAUGCAAAAUAGUGUAAUACUGUUACACAUGAAUCAUGUAGAUACAGAUAUUAAUAAUAAUUAUAUGCAUAAAAUCCAAAGAUGAAGAAUAACUGAAUGUACAAUUUAUUUAACACAUAUUAAAAGGAUAUUAUAUUAAAAACUAAAUAUAUAUUGCACAAUCAGAUGGGUAUCACUGCCCCUUACUACAGAUUGGUGGUGAGCAUACGCGGUAUAAAACAUUGCCACUCACAAGCGUUUUGACCUUCAGAUAGUCAACUAUAGUUGUCUAGAUCCCAAUCCAGUCUGCUUCCUCUGGACAAUGUCCCUCCAGGCAGUGUCUCUCCGGGUAGUGUCUCCGAUAGUAGCGAGCUCCAUCUCUAGUGCGUGUGUAGUUCGUAUCUCGCGGUUUUCUUUAGCUUCGUCAGGACGUGAGUCAUAGUUCCCGCCAUCUUUGUCUUGGGUAUUAAUGGGCAAAGUCUGUUUGGGCUCUCUUAGUCCCCAUUGGCUACAUCUAAAAGUCUUUAUUUGCAUAAUUACAAGUCCAUGAACAUCUAAGUAUCACGGGUGGUGGUACGGAGACCGGGACCCAUGAGUGCCUGAUGUUGAUGAGGGGAGUCUCAGCGUGGAAACGGACUAUCAGGGCCGAGUGCAGGGUAACCACACGCCCCAUGGUGUUAAGCACCAGCGUUUGUGCUGCCACAUACCAGGGCCCUGAUGCAUCUUCUGUGGAUCCCAGACGCUUGAGGAUAUGCAGACCUCCCAGGAUCUGGAUAGGGAGGCUCUGCAGCAGAAAUGUAUCCAGUAAUAGAAACAAGGCAAGACUAGAACAGGCACCAAACAUGAAAACAAGACAGAACUAGUAGAACCCAGAACCGGAGCAGGACAGAAAGCAGAACCCAGAACAUGUACACAAGACAUGAGGGAAACAUGAACAGUGUAGGACAGGACUGUACAUGAACUGGGAAUACAAAAUAAAACAAGACAAGGCAAAACAAGAGGAGACAUAAAUAAGUACUAUAUAUAUAUAAAACAUUGGAGCUUUAGACAUACAUAAAUGGCCAAGAUGUAUGCAGCCCACCACUGCGCCAAAGUACUCCAAUUACGGUGGGUCCUAACUGCCUAGAUAUGCAUGACUAAAUAAUCAACAAUAAAAUACACACAGUACUUACCUGCAAAGAAAGGAGCAGAGGACAGGAAACCACUGCCUGCUGGAACCAACUGAAACAAAAAGGAUCAAUGGAAAAGGAACGGGUGUGGCAACAAAAAACAAACAUUUAAAGGAAUCCAGGAGACUGGGAAUUCCAGGAACGGAAUAAAGGAAUGAACCCAGAAAACCCAACAUAAAGAAAACCAGACAUAGAAUAGAAAACCAGAAAAACCUAGAAAAACUAAACAAGGAUUGUAAAAAGAGUACUGGAUUAAUCUUUGACUUUGGUUGAUAAAAGUGUUGAUGCAAAUUUCUUUUUAUUCUAAUUAGUUGACUCUUGGGAAUAUUUUCUAACCAAGUGCUAAAGUGGCAGCUUGUUUUGUUGAUUUAGCUAUUGACGUCAACUGUUUUAAAAAAAAGUUUCAGUUUUAAUUUGAUUAUCUUCUAUACAAAUUGUAAGGUCAAGGAAGUUCACUUUAGAUUCACUGUAAUUAAAAAUUAGUGAGACUCCCUAUUCUUAGAGUUAAUGUCAUUUUUGUCCCCUCUCCAAAUAAAAAAAUAUCUAUGUAUCUCUUGUACAGCACCAGGUUUGACCCCCAUUCCCCUUCUGGGUUAACGUAUUUUGAUUCCCAGUGGGCCAUAAACAAAUUUGCGUAACUAGGGGCAAACCUGGUGCCUUUAGCUGUACCACAUAAUUGCAAGUAAAAAAUUGUUCUGAAACCAGAAAUAGUUAUUCUUUAAAAUAAUUUCAAUGGCCUCUAAAAUAAAAACAAUUUGAUUGUCUGGAUAAAGAAUACCGUAUAUACUCGAGUAUAAGUCGAGUUUUUCAGCACAUUUUUUGUGAUGAAAAACCACUACUCGACUUAUACUCUAGUCAAUGUCUGUAUUAUGUCAAUUUACAUUGCCAUAACACAGACAAGGACGGCCAGGCUCAUUACAAGCCCGGCAGUCCUGUUGGGGGCUGUUACUUACCUUUCCUGCAGCUCCUGUCAACUCCCUUCUCCUGCGUUCCGGUCAGCUCCCCUGUCAGCUCCACUGUAAAUCUCACGAGAGCCGCGGGGUCAGUGCAUCAGUGCGGGUUACCGUGGCAAUGCUCCGCACGGCAGUCACACCGUGAGACCGUGAGACCUACAAUGGAGCUGACUGGACCAGAGGAGAGAGAAGGGAGCUGACAGGAGCUGCAGGAAAGGUAAGUUACAGCUCGCUGCCAGCCCCCCUCCUACACAGCCCAUGCCACUGGACCACCAGGGAAUGAGAGCCCCCCUCCCUGGCCAGCUAACAAGCAGGGAGGGGGGACGAAUAAAAAUAAAUACAAAUUUAAAUAAUAAUAAAAUAUUAAUAAUAUUUAAAAAAAAAUUAUAAUAAAAAAAUAUUAAUAAAUAUAACAAAAUAAUAAAAUAUUAAAAUAAGAAUAAUAAUAAAAAUAAAAAUGCCCACCCCCACCAAGGCUCUGCAUCACCCACACACAUUACACACACACACACACUGCAUUCAUACACACACACUGCAUUCAUAUACACACACUGCAUUCAUACACACACACACACACUGCAUUCAUAAACACACACACUCUGCAUUCAUAUACACACACACUCUGCAUUCAUUAUAUACACAUACUCUGCAUUCAUUCUAUACACACACUGUAAAUAAAUAUUCAAUUAAUAUAAUUUUUGGGAUAUAAUUUUAUUUAGAAAUGUACCAGUUGCUGCUGCAUUUCCCACCCUAGUCUUAUACUCGACUCAAUAAGUUUUCCCAGUUUUUGGGGGUAAAAUUAGGGGCCUCGGUUUAUAUUCGGGUCGACUUAUACUCGAGUAUAUACGGUAAAUUUAAAUAAAAAAAAAAGAAAAAUAUUCAGUAUGCCAACACCUUGAUAUAUUGGUCUACCUGAAGGUUUCAUUAGGUUUUUGUUGAUCUUCGGUAAAAAAUAAAAAAAUUGUAUUUUUACCUGUUUCAUAUUCAGAUAUUCAGCUUCUUUUUUAUUUAAAACUCCAUUAAGACACCUUUUUCUACUAAUUUAGCAACUUUGUUUUUAAUGUCUGAUGUCGGAUCUUAUAUUAAUUUUUUAUAUAUUAUUUUAUUGUCCAGAAGUUUCCAAGCCUCUUCAAAAUAGUAUAAGCGGCUCAUGACUAUUGCCCCUCCCUCCCUUGUCUGCUGUCUUUAUUACUAUAUUACUGUAAUUUUUUAGAUCUUUCAAUGCUUUUUUGUUCCUGUGUGGUUCGAUUCAAUAUACAUUUAUUGAGGGGUUAUAUUUGAUUAAUAUUAUAAAAUACUGUUGUAGGUGUAGAACUGUUCCAAUAUAAUUUAAGGGGGCAGAAACAGUGCCUUAAAACCCAAUAUGCCCAAAUAGCGUUUUUAAAGGGCAAUACACCUUAGGGGCCAUAGUCACAGGGCAAGAGGCUGGCAAGCAGGCCUCUCCAAAUCCCAGUGACGAAGGUGCUUUCGUCACACCUUUGAACUUGCCAUUUAGAUAUGUCUACAUCUUUUUUAUUGAUCCCCCUUGGGUGUAGACACUAAAGUGUAUAGCAGCAAAUUAAUAUUUUAUUAACUAUAAAAGUUUUUUUUAAAAGGAUUAGUAUUCUUGUUUCAGACGAUCUUUUACCCAUUUUUAUGGUCUUUUGGAUGCGAUUUUUUUAAGCUCUUUUAUUACUUUUUGAAAUGAUUAACUUACAAAUCUUGCACUCAAAGACAACAUGACUAUAUGGCAUGGUGCAAUGUUUAGCAAAUAAUACCCACUAUAAAAAAAAAACAUCACUCCAGAGACCUAUUGAAAAAGAUGGGUGGGUUAACGUUUUAGUUUAUACAAUAAAGGUUCUUCAAGACAAUUGCAGCAAACUAAUCAUGUAUAUAUUUAUAUAAACCAAAGAAAAAGUGGACACCAUGCCAAACAACAUUAAAACCACCUGCCUAAUAUUGUGUAGGUCCCCCAAACAGCCUCUGAUAUGUCAAGGUAUAGACUCCACAAGACCUCUGAACAUGUCCUGUGGUCAUGACAUUAGCAGCAGAUUCAUUUAAGUUCUGCAAGUUGCGAGGUGGGGCCUGCAAGGAGAAGAACUGUUUGAUAAAUCAAAAUAAAACAAAUGCGGGGCAGAGCUAGCUGCAGACCAGAGCAGACUCAUCUUGGAAGGCUUCAUGCCACAGCUGGCAAAAUAACCAUUUUUCUUGUGGAAAUUGGGCACUUACCUACCCACUGCCUUGACUGCAGAUAGGAGAAACCACGAUGGGCAGGAAAAACAAGAAACCGAGGGCGGAUAAAGCUCCUACCAGCCGUGACAUAGGCGAGCUCCUGCGUAACUCUCAGAAAACUACAUGGGAGAAAAUGGCGUUGGGGGAAGAAGGAUUUUCCGACUCCUCCUCCGACACUUAUACCGACCUGGGAGAAGGAGCUUCACUGGGUCAGCCAUCAGGGCAUAUGGCCAAGCCACCUCCAUCUGGUGAUCCAGCCACCACAGACCUAUUAAAAAGCAUGUUUGCUGAACUCCAGCAGAAUUUGGCUUCGGAUAUAGCAUGCUUCAAAGAUGCCAUUGCAGGAGCUACCACAAGGCUCAACCUCCUCGAGGCUUCAGCAAGGUCUUGGGACACCUGACUAACCACACUAGAGCAGAAGGUCUCUAACCUCCAAAAGCAGCAAAUCAGUACCACUGAGAAAGUGGGAGCCCUGGAGAGCCAAAGACAGAAACACAACCUCAAGAUCAGAGGGGUGCCUGACACCAUUGGGUUACCCAACCUUCCACACUUUAUAAGGCGCCUAUUGGCCACACUGCUACAGCCUAAACCGGCUAAAAAUGUGAAGCUGGAAGGAAUGUUCCACCUGCCAAAACUGGCAACAGCACCCCCACAGCCACCGCAGACCUUAUCUUGCGGUUUCAGUCUCUCCAGGACAAGGCCACAUUGUUACCAGCGGCCUGGGGGAGAUCCCCUUUGUCAUUUAAGGACUUGCAAAUUUCACUGUUCCCUGACCUUACGAGGAGCACUCUGAGCUGGUGCAAAUUGCUCCAACCACAGCUACAACAUUUGCGCUUCAAGAAUAUUCCCUAUCACUUGGGUGUGCCAAGACUUCUCACGUUUACCUUUCAUCGGACUACCCACCGGGCAAGGAGCCCCCAAGAACUGAACUCUCUUUUUGGCCAGUUGGGCCUGUCAACCACCCAAAUGGCUGUCCCACCUGGAUCCCUCUACGGUAGCGAUCCCGGCGCAAUCACGCAGCAGAGAAUGCCUCUUGAGUAACUUACGCUGAGACGCCACUUACUCAUCUCGAGGGAUGCCACACUUUCCGCCACCACGACCCGUGACCAAGCAUUCAAAGUUCUUACUGUUAUUUUGCUUAAAUUAUGUUUCUUCAUUUUUAUUUUUACGUUACACCUAUUGUUGAUGUUCACAACCCAAAAAUGUCAAAGUGGGUAGAUAUACAUCCCCACUUACUGUUCUACGUGAUAUACACUGCUCAAAAAAAUAAAGGGAACACUUAAACAACACAAUGUAACUCCAAGUCCAUCACACUUCUGUGAAAUCAAACUGUCCACAUAGGAAGCAACACUGAGUGACAAUCAAUUUCACAUGCUGUUGUGCAAAUGGGAUAGACAACACGUGGAAAUUAUAGGCAAUUAGCAAGACACCUCCAAUAAAGGAGUGGUUCUGCAGGGGGUGACCACAGACCAUUUCUCAGUUCCUAUGCUUCCUGGCUAAUGUUUUGGUCACUUUUGAAUGCUGGCGGUGCUUUCACUCUAGUGGUAGCAUGAGAUGCAGUCUACAACCCACAAAAGUGGCUCAGGUAGUGCAGCUCAUCCAGGAUGGCAGAUCAGUGCGAGCUGUGGCAAGAUGGUUUUCUGUGUCUGUCAGCGUAGUGUCCAGAGCAUGGAGGCGCUACCAGGAGACAAGCCAGUACAUCAGGAAAAGUGGAGGAGGCCGUAUGAGGGCAACAACCCAACAGCAGGACCGCUACCUCCGCCUUUGUGCAAGGAUGAACAGGAGGAGCACUGCCAGAGCCCUGCAAAAUGACCUCCAGCAGGCCACAAAUGUGCAUGUACAAAAAGAUAUGGAAGGGCUGCGCCAAAUAAGGGUAGAUAGUCCAGUAAAGUAUUGCUAGGGUGCCAAUAGAUGGUCUAGGAUACUUGAUAGAGUUCCUCUGUGGAUGCGUCUGGUGUAGACCGUUCCGUAUAUGUAAAUACAAGAGAGGUAGAGGCGACUAAUGGUAUAGUAUGAAAGUUCAGGGUGUGAUAGGUAACAAAAAGUAAAGAACUCACAUUCAAGAGAGCUAUGGCCAGCUCUGGUGUGGAUUGCGUACAGCGGUAUAAUCCCCGCUUAUGGGAUAUGUAGGGAGGGGUCUCCGUCAGCACCGUCUGGUAGUCCAGAGCUCGAAAAAGAAAGACAGAAAGCAACAAUAGUGCUCUCAAUUUUGAUGUGGUUCAAUGUGCAGAUAAGAAGAGGUAAAAAACUCACAUUUGAGGGAGCUAUGGCCAGCUCUGGUGUGGAUAGCGUACAGCGGUAUAAUCCCCGCUUAUAGGAUAUGUAGCGGCGAUACGUCCGUCAGCACCGUCUGGUGAUCCAAGGCUCCAAUAUAGAAGAAUAAAAGCAGCAAUAGUGCUCUCAAUUGUGAUAGGUUAAGAGAGUAGUAGAGAAAAUAAAAUAAUACUCACAAAGAUAGAGCAGAGGUACUGCUCUAUGGAUAGGCGCCGGUGGUAUGAUCCCCACCUAGGAUUUCUUGGAGUACUGGAACUUUAAAAUUGCCAAUGGAAGUAAAAGUAACCAGGAAAGGUUAAAAUGCCAGGAAUAGGUAAAAACAAAAGUUGUUUAAAGUGCAUAAAGAGUGCAAUAAAAAGAGGAUUGGUACAAUAAAGUAGCCAAAAAACUUUUAUUGAUCUAAAAUACACAGUAAAAUACAGAAUUAAUAACCAUAAACGCGUUUCACCAUAUCUUUUUGUAUCUAUCCACCGAAGGACCCGAGGGGUUUUCCUUCAUUUGGGUUGCUGCCUACCUUGACUAAUUUUGUGAUUACUAGCGCUGAAUUCUUUUUGUGUUUAUCUACACAAAUGUGCAUGUGUAUGCUCAAACAGUCAGAAACAGACUCCUUGAGGGUGGUAUGAGGGCCCGACGUCCACAGGUGGGGGGUUGUGCUUACAGCCCAACACAGCACAGGACGUUUGGCAUUUGCCAGAGAACACCAAGAUUGGCAAAUUUGCCACUGGCGCCCUGUGCUCUUUACAGGUGAAAGCAGGUUCACACUGAGCACAUGUGACAGACGUGACAGAGUCUGAAAAUGCCGUGGAGAACGUUCUGCUGCCUGCAACAUCCUCCAGCAUGACCGGUUUGGCAGUGGGUCAGUAAUGGUGUGGGGUGGCAUUUCUUUGGGGGCCGCACAGCCCUCCAUGUACUCGCCAGAGGUAGUUUGACUGCCAUUAGGUACCGAGAUGAGAUCCUCAAACCCCUUGUGAGACCAUAUGCUGGUGUGGUUGGCCCUAGGUUCCUUCUAAUGCAAGACAAUGCUAGAACUCAUGUGGCUGGAGUGUGUCAGCAGUUCCUGCAAGACGAAGGCAUUUAUGGACUGGCCCGCCCGUUCCCCAGACCUGAAUCCAAUUGAGCACAUCUGGGACAUCAUGUCUCGCUCCAUCCACCAACGUCACGUUGCACCACAGACUGUCCAGGAGAUGCUUUAGUCCAGGUCUGGGAGGAGAUCCCUCAGGAGACCAUCUGCCACCUCAUCAGUAGCAUGCACAGGCAUUGUAUGGAGGUCAUACAGGCACGUGGAGGCCACACACACUACUGAGUCUCAUUUUGUUAUAAGGACAUUACAUCAAAAUUGGAUCAGCCUGUAGUGUGGUUUUCCACUUUAAUUUUGAGUGUGACUCCAAUUUCAGACCUCCAUGGGUUGAAAGAUUUGAUUUCCAUUUUUUUUUUGUGUGAUUUUAUUGUCAGCACAUUCAACUAUGUAAAGAAUAAAGUAUUUCAGAAGAAUAUUUAAUUCAUUCAGAUCUAGGAUGUGUUAUUUUUGUGUUCCCUUUAUUUUUUUGAGCAGUGUAGCUCAACUUGCUCUACACAAAUGACACUUGUCCACUACACAUUCACACGCACAAUUCUAAACCACCCACACACAACACUCAGGUACCACCACAUAAAUUAAACACUGAGCCACUUCACAUGACACUCAGCCACCUCCUCUCUGAGCCCAGGGUUCUAGGAGAAGGCCCCAAUAUGGAACCCUACCUUGGGCCCUGGGCUAUAUUAAUCUGGCUCUUUACCUGUCACCUAUAUUCAACUAUCCACAUUGCCCAAUGUAAAUGACUGUACAAUUAAAAGGGCAGUCUGUGCAGUUAACCACUGUAGCACAUUGUCUUGGUUAUGUCACUAAUGGUCUAUUGGGGGACCUCACGAAUUGUAUAUUUUAUAACAUGAAUUCUCCUGUAAGGACUUUUUAUGUAAAAUUCAGCAGCCAAAGCAGGGAGUAAAAUCUUUAUAGCUUAAAUCUGUCUGAUUACUAAAAAAAAAAAAAAAAAUCAAACACAACUUUAAAACCAACCAUUUAUUUAUUCCACAAUGUAUUCUUUAACUAUUUGUGACCAGAGAUCUAGCCAACACUGAUGAUGAUUGUGACGAGACCAAUCUCGCCACAUUGCAUUGGAGGAGCCUGGUUGCCCACCUGCUGCCUUUGGAUUAUGGACCGGCAGCUAAAGGGUUAAUUUUACUGUGCAGAAGGAUUUAUUUCUCCCUUUCUGCACAGCCGUUCGGUAGAUUCUAUCUACCGAACAAACAGUUUCUUUUCAGCCUCCCCGGAACAGUGGGAAGUCGGCCGGCGACCUUAAUUGGCCACCCAGAAGCUGGAGUACGCCCUCCAUUUACCUCCCUGAAGCCGCGGUUAACCGCGGCUUAACGAGCGUGUGCCGGCAAUUGACCACCCAGUAGCUGUGGUUAACCGCAGCUUAAUUGAUUGUUACUGGGUGGUCGCGGUUACACUUAGCCGCCACACGAUGGCGGUGUUCUGGAGCUCCCCGGGCAGCCAGCGCUUUUCUGCCCGGCUUUCCUGCACCAAACCCGGACACUUUUACGUGCAGGCACCGCUGAACCUCCAACCCCUGGUUCUAAUUCGUACGGAUUUAACGAAUGCAUGUAAAUUCGGUAUUUUGUGUUGGGGGAAUGUUUUAACCCAGAUAGCUAUGCCAUGGAGCCUGUUCAUGGAAUUAAAGACUUUGGCUCCAUGGCAAUUAAACUGUAUUCGUGUGGUCUGAGUGCCAUUCACCUAAUAAUGUGCACUCAGACCUGAGCAAUCUGGGGAUAUGUUACAUGUAUAUAUUUACUGUACCAUUUGUCCCAUUAUGUAUUUUAAAGUGAUAGUCUGUCUUUGUGUCCCCACGUGUGUAAUGGAGUUUUGACUUUGUCCUGGGAGAUAAUUACUUCUCCAGGGCAGAGGGGAGGAAGCCAGGAUGCAUUGUGGGGAUGUUUUACUUCUGUAUGUCUGUAAUUGGUACAUGUCUGUCUUUUUUUACAGUCUUCCAUCUGGUCCCCUAGGGGAGUGUCCACCAGGUGGGAGACCUGCAUAAAUACUGGGCAGGUAGCCCUCAUUAAACAGACCACUGCUUGACCCCCAACACGGAGCCUUGUCUCGUCUUUGGGGGGGAUUUACUGAAUGCUGAUAGAGACUGAUUGCCAGGAGUGUAAGCCGCUUGGGUGCUUUUCCUGUUCGCCUGCUAGCAGCUAUUUCGUGAGGUUCCAGUUCGGUGUUUGAGCAUUCUCUGUAUGCAGUCCGAGUUUGGAGCAUUCCCUUGUAUGCAGUUCGAGUGUUUGGAGCAUUCCCUUGUAUGCAGUUCGAGUGUUUGGAGCAUUCCCUUGUAUGCAGUUCGGGUGUUUGGAGCAUUCCCUUGUGUGCAGUUCGGGUGUUUGGAGCAUUCCCUUGUAUGCAGUUCGAGUGUUUGGAGCAUUCCCUUGUAUGCAGUUCGAGCGUUUGGACCAUUCCCUUGUAUGCAGUUCGCGUGUUUGGAGCAUUCCUUGUAUGCAGUUCGAGUGUUUGGAGCAUUCCCUUGUAUGCAGUUCGAGUGUUUGGAGCAUUCCCUUGUAUGCAGUUCGAGUGUUUGGAGCAUUCCCUUGUAUGCAGUUCGGGUGUUUGGAGCAUUCCCUUGUAUGCAGUUCAGGUGUUUGGAGCAUUCCCUUGUAUGCAGUUUGAGUGUUUGGAGCAUUCCCUUGUAUGCAGUUCGAGUGUUUGGAGCAUUCCCUUGUAUGCAGUUCGGGUGUUUGGAGCAUUCCCUUGUAUGCAGUUCGGGUGUUUGGAGCAUUCCCUUGUAUGCAGUUAGAGUGUUUGGAGCAUUCCCUUGUAUGCAGUUCGGGUGUUUGGAGCAUUCCCUUAUUGGCGGUUCGUGUGUUUGGUGUUCUACAGUAGCUGUGCCUGCAUCUCUGGAAAGGGGGAAGAUCGCCUAAACGGUUUUUACCCCUUUUGUGCAAAACGGUCCGUUACAAUGAUCUUUAGUGUUCAAUGUAGACAAUAACUGGAUCAUGUUUUGGGACAAGUGAAAUGCAGGCUGUCUGCAGAAUGUUAAUUAUUUCCUUUAUAGAGGAUUUUGUAUUAUUAUUAUAAUUUCAUUGAGAAUGCUCCAUUCAUCAUCAUCAUCAUCAGUAAACACAUUUAUUUUUAGGUCUUUCUCUCUUUCAAAUAGCCUCUACAUAUCCAAAUAUUUCUCUAUUUUAGACUGAAAAUAGAUCUCUGGAAACCAACAAUUUAGAUCAAAAUGCAAGAUUUAAGUUAUUUUUGUCUUUCCAACAAUUUGUCGAUCUUGCAUAUAUAUUUUCUGAAGACAGAACUUGAAGAGCAACAAGUUGUGCAGAAUACAAAAAUAAAUAUGAAAACAAACUUUGCUUCCUUGUCAAAAUGUUGAAGCAGCUAUUAUAUACUAUUGUCUAACGAACUACAGAGGCAAAUAACACGGAAUGAACGCCACCAAUAAUGUACUGAGGACGGUAACGUUCUGAUAACGUAUCCAUGGCAAUGUAUGGCCAGGGAUGAAGAAGAGGAAGCACGGGAUGAAGUAAGCUACAAAACAACCGAUUAUGUUCCAGGCACUCCAAAGUGAGCAGGUCUAUUGGAACAGAUGAGAGCAACAUGUCAGAACACAAUUGAGCUUCACAAAUGUUGUUUUCAUCUGCUCCGAUAAACCUGCUUACUUUGGAUUUACCUUGAGCUCCUGAACCUUAUUCAAACCAACCUUUCCUCUCAUGUCCAACCACCGUUCAUAAACCAACUAAUCCCCACUCUUGUUAGGCUCCCAUUCUCAAACCACCCUGUCCCUCUUAUGUGCAACCACCAUUCUCAAGCCAAGUAAACCCACUCAUGGCCAACCACCAUUCUUUAACCAACUAACCCCCACUCAUGUUCAACCUCCAUUCUCAAUCUAACUAUCCGCCACUCAUGCACAACCACCAUUCUCAAUCUAACUAACCCCCACUCAUGAACAACCACCAUUCUCAAUCUAACUAUCCGCCACUCAUGCACAACCACCAUUCUCAAUCUAACUAACCCCCACGCAUGCACAACUGCCAUUCUCAAUCUAACUAACCGCCACUCAUGAACAACCACCAUUCUCAAUCUAACUAUCCGCCACUCAUGCACAACCACCAUUCUCAAUCUAACUAACCGCCACUCAUGCACAACCACCAUUCUCAAUCUAACUAACCCCCACUCAUGCACAACCACCAUUCUCAAGCCAGCUGUUCCCACACAUGUUUAACAACCAUUUUCAAACCAACUAAUUCCCUCUAAUUUUUCAGCACCAUUCUCAAUCCAACUAACUCCACCCAUUUCCAACCACCAUUCUCAAUCAGAGUGCCAGACGUUAGUUACAUGGUCCUCCUCUAUAUGUUACAAAUGUCUACCUUAUUCCGUUAGAAAACUGUCAUAUCUCCCGUAUUCAGUAAAUUCUGUGUCCGUCCCUCAGAACUUGCUGUUUGAGUAGCUGACCCAUAGAAGGCAAAAGUAUAUACUAAGGGAUAAAGCUAGCAAUUAUUUGCACUCUUAAAAAUAAAAAUCAUAUUUUCAUUAUUUUAAUUUGCAAUAAAUGAAAGGUAUGUUAGCACCACUUGACUUUAGAUGUAAGUUAAAAAUGUAAAAUGUUUCCGCACAUUCUCCCAGGGAUGUAUUUACCACAAGGCAAAUAAGGCAUUUGCCUAGGGCGGCACUUUCGGGGGUGGGGGGCACCAAAAAAUGCCACCCCAAGCUCCCAGACAAAUACCUUGUUUGCCUCGUGUUCUGGGGCUGUCCACCUUACUGUGAGUGAGUGAGUGUAGCUGUCAGUGUGUGUCUGUGAGUGAGAAUGGGUGUGCCUGUGAGUGUGUGUCAGUGUGUGUAUGUCAUUUUAUGUGUAUCUUAGAGUGUGUGCCUGUCAGUGAGUGGGUGUGUCAGUGUGUGUCUGUCAGUGGAAGUGUGUGUUGGUUAAACAGUGUGUGCCAAUGACUGUGUAUCUGUCAGUGAGUGUAUAUCAGUGCAUGUAUAAAUGAGGGCGUGUGUCUGUCAGUCAAAAAAAUGGUCUUGACACAAAUUGGGGGGGCAAAUUUAGUCGUGCCUAGGGCAGCACAAAUCCAAAAUACACCGCAAAAUACACUGCAUUCUCCGCAACAAAUUAUUGAACAAGGAAUCACUUGGAAACUAUACCAGGCAUUCAGACAUUCAACCAUAAAAAUGUUUAUUUCUACUUGUCUCCACGACAGACAAGAUUAAUCAUCCCAAAACAAAAUAUGAUUGUUAGUUUUCAAUUAUUAACAUUUUUGUGCUUUCCUAGUGGGACUUUGCAAUGUCCUCUGACUGCAUGUACACGUAUGAAAGAUUCUGAGUCUAUCAGGGACAACAAGGCUAAAAAACAAAGGCUGUUAUUUUUAAUAAUUAUAUGUUUUUCUUCUGUCUGCUCAGACUCCAGGAUUGACGGCCGAGAAAACACGCGAGAGUGACCUGAGACUGGUGGUGGCUCUGGAUUCCGAAGGAUAUGCCCGUGGAGACCUCUAUUGGGACGAUGGAGACAGCUUGGGGACCUUUGAGAAAGGCGAUUAUACCCAAGUUAGCUUUCUGGCUGCAAAUGUGAGUCUUCAUCAAAUAAAUGGACUCCAAAGGGGCACGUUCCCAAAUCACUGAACCUAUCAAUAUUUGAGUGAUGACAAAUGCAAGAGGUGAUGUUGCCUGUGUCUAUAGUAAAAGUUGACUUUUUGUUUCUUUGUCACAGAAUGUCCUUCAAAGUGAGGUGAUUUGGGCGGGCAGUCAGGCAGACACCCUAAAACUGGGCAUGGUCUCAGUAUAUGGGCUGUCAAAUCCCCCAAAUAAAGUGCUGGCAAAUGGGGAGCCCUUCCAAAAUUAUUCCUACAAGCCGGAGAGUGAGGUGAAUUUACUCUUUCAAAUGAGACAAACCACUUAACUACCAUUAGUCUAUCUCUCCAUUUCCUUUUGUCUGUCUGUCCAAUCUGAUCUUCCAUUUCCUUCUGUCUGUCUGUCUGCUAAAUCUGUCUCUCCUUCUCCUACUGUCUGUCUGCAAAAUCUGCCCCUCUUUCUCCUCCGGUCUAUCUGUGUAAUCUAUCUCUCUGUCUCCUACUGUCUGUCUCUGCAAUCUGCCCCUCCGUGUCCUCCUGUCUGUCUGUCCAAUCUGUCCAGGGGAGGGCUGGCAGCCUUAGGCCCGAGGAGCAAAUCCAGUCAAGUGGCCCAUUGCACCAAGAGGAGAGUAAAAACACCUUUCCCAUGUCACCUAAACAGACACACAAUGACAGGCACAAACAUACACUUGCUGAUUUAGCACACACUAAAAAACUCACUCACCGACAGGCACACGCACACACGUGCAUAGACCGGCAGGGGAGAUCCUGGGACCACCCCUGCCGGCCUCGGCCCACGGCCACCGCGGCCCACCAGGCAUUUGCCCGCUGUGCCCGAUGGCCAGUCCGGGCCUGUGUCUGUGCAAUCUGUCUGUCCCUCCGACUCCUGUCUGUCUGUGCAAUCUGUCUCUCUGACUACUCCUGUCUGUCUGUGCAAUCUAUCUCUCCGACUCCUGUCUGUCUGUGCAAUCUGUCUCUCCCACUACUCCUGUCUGUCUGUGCAAUCUGUCUCUCCGACUCCUGUCUGUCUGUGCAAUAUGUCUGUCCCUCCGACUCCUGUCUGUCUGUGCAAUCUGUCUGUUCCUCCGACUCCUCCUGUCUGUCUGUGCAAUAUGUCUGUCCCUCCGACUCCUGUCUGUCUGUCCAAUCUGUCUGUCCCUCCGACUCCUCCUGUCUGUCUGUGCAAUCUGUCUGUCCCUCCGACUCAUCCUGUCUGUCUGUGCAAUCUGUCUCUCCGACUCCUCUCUGUCUGUGCAAUCUGUCUGUCCCUCCGACUCCUGUCUGUCUGUCCAAUCUGUCUGUCCCUCCGACUCCUCCUGUCUGUCUGUGCAAUUUGUCCCUGUGUGUCCUCUUGAUUGAUUUCUGUAUCUCUUUCAGAUGAUGGUGAUAGAACACAUUUUUUUGCCAUUACGAUUUAGCAUCACAUGGUCCUGAGACCCGGGUUAGAACUCUACAGAAUCUCUUCCAGUAAUAUGUAAUCUAGGCUUUGUAGCUGAGCUUUCUCUGUGCAUACUGACGUAUCUUUAUUGUGGUGUGUAAAGCAAAAAUAGUUUUUAAAAUACAGCAUGACCCUAGUGCAGAGAUAAGCAACCUUAAGCACUCGAGAUGUUGUGGACUCCAUCUCCCAUGAUGCUCUGCCAGCAUUAUGGUUGUAAGAGCGUUAUGGGAGACGCCAAAGGUUGUCUAACCCUGUCCUUGUGAAUACAAAAUGUGACUGAAGCAAAAUUUCCAAGGAAAAAACUAAAAUGGUUAUUGAAGUCCAAAAAUGUUACUGAAAUAUCUUUAUAAAUAUCUUUUUAAAAAACAAGUUCCUUAAGGGUGUUUCUGCUCGUCCUACAUUGGAAAGUUUGUCAUUAGUGAGACGUCUUUAACAAACAGAAGUGACUUACCAGACCAGAUUUGACAGUUUCACAAAAAAGCAUAAAACCAGAAAUGCAACAACUUUUAUUAUCUCUUCCGUAAAAUGAGGAACCAUGUCUACAGCAUGGUGAACACAGACACACAGGAAAUCUGUUUUGCGCAUUUUGUCUGUAGGUGCCAUCUUCCUGAAAUUUUAGAUUCUCCAGUGGUUGUGGUUUUUUGUUACAGAUGAUAUGUCCCUCUUACCCGGUCAGAAAAAUGCUACAUUUCUCCAUAAUUUCCAUUUUAUUUAGUUAUUUGUUUGUCUAAUGUUUGAUGAAGAAACAACAUUCCCUUAACAAUUCUCUAGAAAUUUGUGAAAACUGUCACCGUAGCUCAGCAGUUCCCAGACCAGUAAUUGAGGCACGCAAACAGUCCAGAAUUCAGGUUUUACCAAAUUGUGUACCAUUGGGGACACUGACAGAAACUGGACCUUUGGAGAACCUUCUGGACUGAGCUGGAACCACCGUCAAAGCUUUAAGGCAUUAAACUGGAGAAGAAUGGACUAUUCCCACCCUCCAAUCACUCUGGUUUGUGUUUAAAGGAAAUUGGUCUUUUACUGGCCAUACUCCAUACAAGGUGCCAAAUCUUGUGAAUUUUAGAUUAGUAGUUUAGUAGUUUAGCUCCUCUUUUCAGACACAGUUUUUAAAAUAUAAUUAUUGUUUUUGAACAUCUCCACUUAAAGAAGACCUCUGUUUAUUGCGAGUUAGGGAGUCCAGUGUUUAUAUGAUAUGUACAGCAAAAAUACAUGCUCCAAGAAAUGUGUACAGCAAAUAUAUACUUCCGUCUCUUCUACUAUGAUAUAAUUUUCAUUUAGGGCAGUGUGGUCAUGUCACAAAGUUCAUCUAUGCCAAACAGACAAAACUUAAAUUUGAAAUAAAUGUGUAUGUGCUUCUGCUAAGUAUAA
rnacentral:lncRNA from 1 species